rnacentral:rRNA from 1 species
ACGCUGGCGGCGUGCCUAAUACAUGCAAGUAGAACGCUGAAGAGAGGAGCUUGCUCUUCUUGGAUGAGUUGCGAACGGGUGAGUAACGCGUAGGUAACCUGCCUUGUAGCGGGGGAUAACUAUUGGAAACGAUAGCUAAUACCGCAUAACAAUGGAUGACCCAUGUCAUUUAUUUGAAAGGGGCAAAUGCUCCACUACAAGAUGGACCUGCGUUGUAUUAGCUAGUAGGUGAGGUAACGGCUCACCUAGGCGACGAUACAUAGCCGACCUGAGAGGGUGAUCGGCCACACUGGGACUGAGACACGGCCCAGACUCCUACGGGAGGCAGCAGUAGGGAAUCUUCGGCAAUGGGGGCAACCCUGACCGAGCAACGCCGCGUGAGUGAAGAAGGUUUUCGGAUCGUAAAGCUCUGUUGUAAGUCAAGAACGAGUGUGAGAGUGGAAAGUUCACACUGUGACGGUAGCUUACCAGAAAGGGACGGCUAACUACGUGCCAGCAGCCGCGGUAAUACGUAGGUCCCGAGCGUUGUCCGGAUUUAUUGGGCGUAAAGCGAGCGCAGGCGGUUUGAUAAGUCUGAAGUUAAAGGCUGUGGCUCAACCAUAGUUCGCUUUGGAAACUGUCAAACUUGAGUGCAGAAGGGGAGAGUGGAAUUCCAUGUGUAGCGGUGAAAUGCGUAGAUAUAUGGAGGAACACCGGUGGCGAAAGCGGCUCUCUGGUCUGUAACUGACGCUGAGGCUCGAAAGCGUGGGGAGCGAACAGGAUUAGAUACCCUGGUAGUCCACGCCGUAAACGAUGAGUGCUAGGUGUUGGAUCCUUUCCGGGAUUCAGUGCCGCAGCUAACGCAUUAAGCACUCCGCCUGGGGAGUACGACCGCAAGGUUGAAACUCAAAGGAAUUGACGGG